UACGGAGGGGGCUAGCGUUGUUCGGAAUUACUGGGCGUAAAGCGCACGUAGGCGGCUUUGCAAGUUAGAGGUGAAAGCCCGGGGCUCAACUCCGGAAUUGCCUUUAAAACUGCAUCGCUAGAAUUGUGGAGAGGUAAGUGGAAUUCCGAGUGUAGAGGUGAAAUUCGUAGAUAUUCGGAAGAACACCAGUGGCGAAGGCGACUUACUGGACGCAUAUUGACGCUGAGGUGCGAAAGCGUGGGGAGCAAACCGG
rnacentral:rRNA from 1 species